UCAUUACCGAGUUUACAACUCCCAAACCCCUGUGAACAUACCAAUUGUUGCCUCGGCGGAUCAGCCCGCUCCCGGUAAAACGGGACGGCCCGCCAGAGGACCCCUAAACUCUGUUUCUAUAUGUAACUUCUGAGUAAAACCAUAAAUAAAUCAAAACUUUCAACAACGGAUCUCUUGGUUCUGGCAUCGAUGAAGAACGCAGCAAAAUGCGAUAAGUAAUGUGAAUUGCAGAAUUCAGUGAAUCAUCGAAUCUUUGAACGCACAUUGCGCCCGCCAGUAUUCUGGCGGGCAUGCCUGUUCGAGCGUCAUUUCAACCCUCAAGCCCCCGGGUUUGGUGUUGGGGAUCGGCGAGCCCUUGCGGCAAGCCGGCCCCGAAAUCUAGUGGCGGUCUCGCUGCAGCUUCCAUUGCGUAGUAGUAAAACCCUCGCAACUGGUACGCGGCGCGGCCAAGCCGUUAAACCCCCAACUUCUGAAUGUUGACCUCGGAUCAGGUAGGAAUACCCGCUGAACUUAAGCAUAUCAAUAAGCCGGAGGAAA
rnacentral:rRNA from 1 species